ensembl:lncRNA
GCACAGGAACCGGGCUGGAGCACAUCUGGAGAGCUGGUGGUGCGAGAGCAUUGGUGCCCAAGCUUCUGCAAUUGAGCAGUUGUGAUGGCAGUAAGAGAGCAGCAAUACACUGACAUCAGAGCAUCGCUGGGGCACAGCUGGCAGUACGAGGGCACUGUGCAAGAGGAUUCGCUGAGGACAGCCAGAUGAGCAUCCCCAGAUUGAGGAAGAGCUCUCAGAUCCUGAAAGCUUCCUGUGGAUCGAGGUCUGGUGAUGGCAGAAGAGGAAAUAGGGGCGUUACCUUCUGCAUGAUGGACAGCUUAUGGGACAGGCAUAUUUUGACCUACAGUGCGAUGUUAAUGAGGUUGCAGUUUGGCCCAGAGCCACGUGGAUGCCCUCCCAGCUGGCAUCCCCAGGCAGCACCGUGCUGCCCUUGGUGCCGACUGCCUCCUGGACCCCAAGGACUAUGCCCUGGCUCACAGCUGGGCAGGCUCCCACUCAGAGCUGCUGCACUUGGCAGGCUCACUGGCAGCAGUACUCACCUGCACCUAAGUGAGAACACGAGCCCCAGAUGCCCACUAGACCUGGUUGGCCCUGGCAGGAGACAGGAUGGACAGGAAUGUCAGCCUUUGUCCACAGGUAGGUGCACUGUGGUCACGGUGAUGGAGAGAGUGAGGGAGGGUGUGUACAGGUUUGUAGGGUGUAUACUGGGGACGUGUUCCACACUGAGAGGGCUGAUUCAGUUGCAUAAAUGCCACUAGCCUGCUGCUUUCACAGAGAUUGCCUCCCAGAGGCGUUCUCUGGAGAGAACGUGCACAGCACAGGGUGAUGGAGAUGCUGACCAUCCCUUCCUGAGGUCAGGAUUCUCUCCUUAUCCAGCAGUGGUGCAGAUUGGGUAGCAGCAACAGCAGCAAAGUUCUCCCUGGGCUGUGCUCCUGUUCAGCCUCUAAGGUCACACUGGGCUGGGUCUGAGAGGCAGGGACCUUGCCAGGCUGGCUUGGAGAGCAGGGCUGGCAGGGCUGCACUGGGGAGGGAAUGGAGUAACCUGCAGUUGGAGAAGCUGAGGCAGGGGUCUGAAAUGCCGUGUGCCCUCUGCAGAGUUCUUCCAGGGUGCAGCAGUGUUGUGUGCAGGGCUUCAGCCCUAUUGUCAAGGGCUCUGAGUGCUGCAUGGGAAAGAAGUUCUUCUAAGGGCAAGAAUUUGUCACCGGGAGUCUUCAUGCCAGCACCAUGGCCUUCCCCUUUCCUGUGCAUCCCAUGCUUCUGCUUGUGUACUUAGCUCCUGCUUGGUCUGGUGUGGAGGUCUUUGUGGAUCAAGGGGAAGGCCUGUGAUAGUAAGAAAAUGGGUCCAUCAAAUGCAAGUGGGUUCAUUUUGGCCAUGAAGAUGUGUUGUCUUUCCUUCCAGGGCCUGCCAGGGGUCACCCCUGCUUGGUGCAACACAGGAUCUCAGGCAUUUUCUGUAAAAGCACUCUGCUAUCAUCAGCAUUAACAGCUGGAAGAUGCAAAGUGCUCUGGGAUUGCCACGAAGUGUAGUGAAAGUGUGGGAGAUGAUGAAUCUGUUCUCCAGGAGAGAGACUAUAGAGCUGCUCAUUUACCUUUGUUAGGCAGCAAGCAGAUUGUCUGGGCACAGCCAUGCCGUGGUGAAGAGUUGAAAGGCCCCAGCAGUGCCUGCUGACAGCUCCAGCUCAACAGGGGGUGGAGGAUUUCCCUGCAGCAGCCCCAAACCAUGGAUCCAGAGCAGUGCUUGUGCUGUGAACCCUGGGAUGCACUCGACUCAUGGAAUGAACCUCUGCCGUGCAAUGGUGAGGGCUUGCCAAGGUGUCUCCUGCAACUCAUUAGAAGAGAGGUAUCACAUACUUACUUCUCCCCGUCUGAUCUGUAAGAUGCCACUGCAGUGAUUACAACUUUUUUUCCUGUUUUUUUUUUUUUUUACUCAGAAUGUGUGAACGCACUCAAUUCAAGGUUAAGCUUCCCAUUAAGUCACACAAGUCUGACAAAGAGCUUAAAUGACCACGGAAAGCAAAACAGUCACCUGCCCUAGCCAAAAAACCUGAGGCCGUGCAAAUUCUCCUCCCAGUCCCUGCAGAGCAGCUCCCAGUGGUGCCGGGUUGCUUGGUGUGGGUCUGGUGGCAGCGUGGUGUCCUUGGAGCCCAUCUCAUGCUGCUCCCAUUGCCAUUCCUUGUGAGUGCUGUGCGUGUGCCAGAGGGCUGUGAAUGAGGGCUGCUGUGUGGUGUUCCAUCACAUCCACACAUCUUGGUGUCCCCAUGCUGUGAGCCUGGCCGGUGUGACCUCGGGGCUCCUCCUGAGGCAGCGCUGGUCUAAAAACACUGAUGAAAAGCUGAUUAAUCCUUGUAAGCGAGCAGCGAUAGCUUCUCUCCAGAACUGAAGAGAUUACCACUGAUUUGUCAUCCUGAUUGUUUCAAAGAGAGGUGCAAUUAGUUGCUCUAAUUUAGCUCGCUGAGUGGCAUGACAACUGAGAUGUAAUCAGGAGCUCCGCACACAGCGCAGCCACCGAUGGGUGCAGCUGUGCCCACCACCAUUUUGCACGCUGAGGGUGGGCCCAAAAUGAUGGAGCACUGUGUGCUCGAGCCCCUCCAACUGCAUCAGGCAAAGUGUGAGUGCUCGACUCUGAGAUCAGCAGGGCUUCUUAUGGGACAGGCUUUAAGCCACGGGGUUGUGGCUGAGCACCCUGGGGGAUGCUGAGCACACCUUUGCCAGGUGCAGUAAAAUUAAUACUAGCUAUAGGAGAGGGUGCACUUUGUGCUCAAGGCCCCAUCUGAGACCAGUUGUUGGUUUGGAAGAGGAGCUGAGCUGCAAAGGGAAGCGUGAGGCACCCUGUGGGCUGACACUCCAAGCAGAGGGGAGGGAACGCAGUAGUUGUAUGUCCAUUUCCAGCAGAACAAAAGAAUUCAAAAUGAACAAAAUAAAGACGAUGCUUUAAAAGUAAAAAUGGUCUCU